GAUGAACGCUGGCGGCGUGCUUAACACAUGCAAGUCGAACGAAACACCUUAUUUGAUUUUCUUCGGAACUGAAGAUUUGGUGAUUGAGUGGCGGACGGGUGAGUAACGCGUGGGUAACCUACCUUGUACAGGGGGAUAACAGUCAGAAAUGACUGCUAAUACCGCAUAAGACCACAGCACCGCAUGGUGCAGGGGUAAAAACUCCGGUGGUACAGGAUGGACCCGCGUCUGAUUAGCUGGUUGGUGAGGUAACGGCUCACCAAGGCGACGAUCAGUAGCCGGCUUGAGAGAGUGAACGGCCACAUUGGGACUGAGACACGGCCCAAACUCCUACGGGAGGCAGCAGUGGGGAAUAUUGCACAAUGGGGGAAACCCUGAUGCAGCGACGCCGCGUGAGUGAAGAAGUAUCUCGGUAUGUAAAGCUCUAUCAGCAGGGAAGAAAAUGACGGUACCUGACUAAGA
rnacentral:rRNA from 1 species